AAUGACGUAUUGUGAGGUCGAAGAAUAUCUAAUGAUAUGAAAAAUGUCCGUACUAUAUCACAUAAAAACCAGUUUCAAAAUGUUAUUAUGCACAGUACGAUCAUAUCUGGAUUGGUGAAUAUGAACACAAGUACAACAGAGACUGAAACCAAGUACGUCAAAUGUUAAUGGGAAUUAUCUCCAGCCCACAGAUGCCUUAAAGACUGUACAAAUUUCCACAUUUUAUGCCAAGAUGCCGGUUAAUUGUACAGACGAGACAACUACAGCAGAGCGCGAGGAAACGCUUCCCAGCGCGGAAAAGUGAAGAUACUGACCCAAGACUUACUCCGGGUAAAGUUUGCGUAUCCAAAACCUGAAAGCAGCUCACCCACUUUUUGAUGUCCAUUUAGCCCUGUUCCUUUUCGGGAAAGAGGCCACCUCGGGCUGUGCGUUCUCCGGGGGUCUCUCUUGCCUUUUACAUACAACCUUCUCCUGAACCCUGUAUGGCCCUUACUGUGUACAAGGGAAAACAAGGCAGUUUGCAGAGCUCCGGAAACCACGAGAGGCAAGUGUGGUAGCUGGGCCUGGCUUCGCCCUCUCCGGCAAGGCUACAGAUGCCUCCAGAUUCCAGCGGGCCACGUCAACGGAAUCAUCUGGAGUAUUCGAAAUUGAUUUGAAUAUUCAAUACAGAUCACCGCAGCAGAACUCAUGGAUGAGAAAUAAUGUGAAUCCAUUGCCAUUGAUUAGCUAAUUUAUGUUCUACAACUAAUCGAAGCACAAAUCUCAUUAGCCACAGUCACUGCCACAAGAUGGAGUGGAGAUUAAUGCCAGGCCAUUUCCUGUGCUUGUUAUACUCUUUGUCAUUAGAAUAAAACAUCAUAAUUUGA